UACGAAGGGGGCUAGCGUUGCUCGGAAUCACUGGGCGUAAAGGGUGCGUAGGCGGGUCUUUAAGUCAGGGGUGAAAUCCUGGAGCUCAACUCCAGAACUGCCUUUGAUACUGAAGAUCUUGAGUCCGGGAGAGGUGAGUGGAACUGCGAGUGUAGAGGUGAAAUUCGUAGAUAUUCGCAAGAACACCAGUGACGAAGGCGGCUCACUGGCCCGGUACUGACGCUGAGACGCGAAAGCGUGGGGAGCGAACAGG
rnacentral:rRNA from 1 species